rnacentral:hammerhead_ribozyme from 1 species
AUUCAGUCGACGAGUCCCAGAAAAGAACGAAACGCACGUUCUGGAU